rnacentral:rRNA from 1 species
GACGAACCGAGCGAACGUUGUUCGGAAUCACUGGGCUUAAAGAGCGCGCAGGCGGUCGGAUCAGUCGAAUGUGAAAGCCCCCGGCUCAACUGGGGAGGGUCAUUCGAUACUGUCCGACUCGAAGGCAGGAGAGGGAAGCGGAAUUCCCGGUGUAGUGGUGAAAUGCGUAGAUAUCAGGAGGAACACCAAUGGCGAAGGCAGCUCGCUGGGACGGUACUGACGCUGAGACGCGAAAGCGUGGGGAGCAAACAGG